rnacentral:rRNA from 1 species
UACGGAGGGUGCAAGCGUUAUCCGGAUUCACUGGGUUUAAGGGUGCGUAGGCGGGCAGGUAAGUCAGUGGUGAAAUCUCCGAGCUUAACUCGGAAACUGCCGUUGAUACUAUUUGUCUUGAAUAUUGUGGAGGUAAGCGGAAUAUGUCAUGUAGCGGUGAAAUGCUUAGAUAUGACAUAGAACACCAAUUGCGAAGGCAGCUUACUACACAACGAUUGACGCUGAGGCACGAAAGCGUGGGGAUCAAACAGG